AGCGAACGCUGGCGGCAGGCCUAACACAUGCAAGUCGAACGAAGUCUUCGGACUUAGUGGCGGACGGGUGAGUAACACGUGGGAACGUGCCUUUAGGUUCGGAAUAACUCAGGGAAACUUGUGCUAAUACCGAAUGUGCCCUUCGGGGAAAGAUUUAUCGCCUUUAGAGCGGCCCGCGUCUGAUUAGCUAGUUGGUGAGGUAAAGGCUCACCAAGGCUACGAUCAGUAGCUGGUCUGAGAGGAUGACCAGCCACAUUGGGACUGAGACACGGCCCAAACUCCUACGGGAGGCAGCAGUGGGGAAUCUUGCGCAAUGGGCGAAAGCCCGACGCAGCCAUGCCGCGUGGAUGAUGAAGGUCUUAGGAUUGUAAAAUCCUUUCACCGGUGAAGAUAAUGACUGUAGCCGGAGAAGAAGCCCCGGCUAACUUCGUGCCAGCCGCCGCAGUAACAC
rnacentral:rRNA from 1 species